AUGAACGCUGGCGGCGUGCCUAAUACAUGCAAGUCGAGCGAACAGACGAGGAGCUUGCUCCUCUGACGUUAGCGGCGGACGGGUGAGUAACACGUGGAUAACCUACCUAUAAGACUGGGAUAACUUCGGGAAACCGGAGCUAAUACCGGAUAAUAUAUUGAACCGCAUGGUUCAAUAGUGAAAGACGGUUUUGCUGUCACUUAUAGAUGGAUCCGCGCCGCAUUAGCUAGUUGGUAAGGUAACGGCUUACCAAGGCAACGAUGCGUAGCCGACCUGAGAGGGUGAUCGGCCACACUGGAACUGAGACACGGUCCAGACUCCUACGGGAGGCAGCAGUAGGGAAUCUUCCGCAAUGGGCGAAAGCCUGACGGAGCAACGCCGCGUGAGUGAUGAAGGUCUUCGGAUCGUAAAACUCUGUUAUCAGGGAAGAACAAAUGUGUAAGUAACUAUGCACGUCUUGACGGUACCUAAUCAGAAAGCCACGGCUAACUACGU
rnacentral:rRNA from 1 species